ACAUCCAGAGAACUUAGCAGAGAUGCUUUGGUGCCUUCGGGAACUCUGAGACAGGUGCUGCAUGGCUGUCGUCAGCUCGUGUUGUGAAAUGUUUGGGGUUAAAGUCCCGCAACGAGCGCAACCCUUAUCCUUUGUUGCCAGCGGCUCGGCCGGGAACUCAAAGGAGACCGCCGGUGAUAAACCGGAGGAAGGUGGGGAUGACGUCAAGUCAUCAUGGCCCUUACGGCCAGGGCUACACACGUGCUACAAUGGCGCAUACAAAGAGAAGCGACCUCGCGAGAGCAAGCGGACCUCACAAAGUGCGUCGUAGUCCGGAUUGGAGUCUGCAACUCGACUCCAUGAAGUCGGAAUCGCUAGUAAUCGUAGAUCAGAAUGCUACGGUGAAUACGUUCCCGGGCCUUGUACACACCGCCCGUCACACCAUGGGAGUGGGUUGCAAAAGAAGUAGGUAGCUUAACCUUCGGGAGGGCGCUUACCACUUUGUGAUUCAUGACUGGGGUGAAGUCGUAACAAGGUAGGCGUAGCGAG
rnacentral:rRNA from 1 species